rnacentral:lncRNA from 1 species
UCGGAUUCUUUCAGCGCUUUCCAAUAUGAUGGCCGAAAAUUUGACAAUUUUGGCUUUGGAACCGACACUGGGGUUACGUCCUCUGCUGAUGUGGAUUCAGGUUCUGGCCAUCAUCAGAGUGCUGAAGAGCAGGAAGUGGCUAGUCUAACUACUCUUCAUAUAGAUUCUGAAACAAGCAGUCUUAAUCAGCAAGCUUUCUCUGCUGAAGUUGCAACUAUUACUGGUAAAGUUAUUCAUGGGAAUGUGUUUCUUAAAUGUAUUUUUUAAGCCUUCAAAGAAUUUGAUUAAAAUUUUGAGAGAUUUUAAGUAUUACUUAUUACUAUUUAAGUAUAUUUUUUCAUUCAUCUUUAUGUAACAAUGAAGGGGAGAAAAGACAUUAGUUUCUUGACCUGAGGUCCACUGGGUUAAGCUUCAGAGGACUCUGUGAACUUGUAGUAUUUUAUGCAAUAUUUUGUAUAUAUAUGCACUAGAACAUUUUCUGCAGGAUUAAAAAAAAAUUUUAAUGGGAACAUAAUAGAUGUAUAUGUAUAUGGAGUACAUGAGAUAGUUGGAGUGAUUUUUAAAAUAAAUAAAAAAGUUAAAAGUA